UCUAGAUUAAAUUACUUUUUUUUUAAUUUAAUUUCUUACUGGUUUUGUUUUUUUCAUUUGGUUUUCUCUUUGCGUAGACAAUAAAGAUGGUCGAGGUUGUGGAUUACAUGAGAACUCCAAUCCAUAUUACUGAACUCCACUACUGUGAAUUCAGUAGAAAUCAAAGGAUUACACUGUAAUUAUAUCAUAUGAAAAUGAAAAUAUCAUGUGGAAAGAGGAAGAGGACCUGGAAGAGCACAUGGAAGUGGUCAGUCGUUCUUUCAGAGACAGACUCUGAACCUUUCACAGCCAUUGUCAUGGUGAGGCUGUUGGCAUGGACUGGUCUCAUGGUGUCAGUGGGAGUGGGAAAGGAUCAUAGAAUAAUGGAUUUGUGA
rnacentral:lncRNA from 1 species